ACUGAAUAGAUACCCGGGUAGUCCACGCCGUAAACGAUGAUCACUUGGUGUUGCAGGUAUUGACCCCUGCAGUGCCGAAAGCUAACGCGUUAAGUGAUCCGCCUGGGAAGUACGGUCGCAAGAUUAAAACUCAAAGAAAAUUGACGGGGGCCCGGCACAAGCGGUGGAGCAUGUGGUUCAAUUCGAUGCAACGCGAAAAACCUUAACCUGGGUUUGUAAGUGCUAGUGAAUGCUGUAGAGAUAUGGCAGGCCUUCGGGUACGACUAGUAUCAGGUGCUGCAUGGCGUGUCGUCAGCUCGUGUCGUGGGAGUGUCGGGUUUAA
rnacentral:rRNA from 1 species